rnacentral:rRNA from 1 species
GACGAACGCUGGCGGCGUGCCUAAUACAUGCAAGUCGAACGCAAUGGGGACGGGUGAGUAACACGUGGGUAACCUCCCAUCAGAGGGGAUAACACUUGGACACAGGUGCUAAACCGAUCCUGUGGGAUGGACCCGCGGUGCAUUAGCUAGUUGGUGAGGUAACGGCUCACCAAGGCCACGAGGCAUAGCCGACCUGAGCUGGUGAUCUGCCACACUGGGACUGAGCCACGGCCCCGACUCGUACGGGAGGCAGCAGUAGGGAAUCUUCGGCAAUGGACGAAAGUCUUACCGAGCAACGCCGUUUGAGUGAAGAAGGUUUUCGGAUCGUAAAACUCUGUUGUUAGAGAAGCGGUAUCUAACCAGAAAGCCACGGCUAACUACGUGCCAGCAGCCGCGGUAAUAC